AUUGAACGCUGGCGGCAUGCCUUACACAUGCAAGUCGAACGGCAGCACGGUUUCUUGCACCUGGUGGCGAGUGGCGAACGGGUGAGUAAUACAUCGGAACACGUCCUCUAGUGGGGGAUAGCCCGGCGAAAGCCGGAUUAAUACCGCAUACGAUCUACGCAUGAACGAGGGGGACCGUCGGGCCUUGCGCUAUAGGGUUGGCCGAUGGCUGAUUAGCCAGUUGGUGGGGUAAAGGCCUACCAAGGCGAUGACCAGUAGCUGUGCUGAGAGGACGACCAGCCACACUGGGACUGAGACACGGCCCAGACUCCUACGGGAGGCAGCAGUGGGGAAUUUUGGACAAUGGGCGAAAGCCUGAUCCAGCAAUGCCGCGUGUGUGAAGAAGGCCUUCGGGUUGUAAAGCACUUUUGUCCGGAAAGAAAUCCUUGGCCCUAAUACGGUCGGGGGAUGACGGUACCGGAAGAAUAAGCACCGGCUAACUACGUG
rnacentral:rRNA from 1 species